rnacentral:lncRNA from 1 species
CCUGCUGUGUGGCCCAGAGGCCAAGGGACAGCCAAACGGAGCUCAGGAGUAGCUGCAGAUACCUCAGGAUCCCCAUGGACCUUCCCUGACCAUCUCUACUGUGGGUGCUGAGUGGAGAUUGUGCUGGGCGCCAGGGCUGGACCUCAGGGCCUGUUUGCCUCUGUCCCCCACCCAGCCCCAAUUGCAGCCACUGGACCACAUGGACACUUGGCCCCUUGAGAUGCAGUCUGGACAGAGGAAGUGUUGUUAAGAGAAGGAGGGAAGGGUCAGCUUUACUGAAGGCAUGCCUCUCAGGACCUGGGAGUAAAUUGUACAGGAUGACAAGGAGUUUACCAUUUGUCUCCAGAAAGGUAUAUGGACAGGCUGUCAAUCUUCUCUUCCUUUCUCUCUGGACCAAGCCCAGAAGCUGG